rnacentral:rRNA from 1 species
AACGAACGCUGGCGGCAGGCCUAACACAUGCAAGUCGAACGCUGUAGCAAUACAGAGUGGCAGACGGGUGAGUAACGCGUGGGAACAUGCCCUUCGGUUCGGAAUAACUCAGGGAAACUUGAGCUAAUACCGGAUACGCCCUUAGGGGGAAAGAUUUAUUGCCGAAGGAUUGGCCCGCGUCCGAUUAGCUAGUUGGUGAGGUAAAGGCUCACCAAGGCGACGAUCGGUAGCUGGUCUGAGAGGAUGAUCAGCCACACUGGGACUGAGACACGGCCCAGACUCCUACGGGAGGCAGCAGUGGGGAAUAUUGGACAAUGGGCGCAAGCCUGAUCCAGCCAUGCCGCGUGAGUGAUGAAGGCCCUAGGGUUGUAAAGCUCUUUCGCCAGGGACGAUAAUGACGGUACCUGGAUAAGAAGCCCCGGCUAACUUCGUGCCAGCCGCCGCCGUAACAC